rnacentral:rRNA from 1 species
AUUGAACGCUGGCGGCAGGCCUAACACAUGCAAGUCGAACGAGUGGCGGACGGGUGAGUAAUGUCUGGGAAACUGCCUGUUGGAGGGGGGUUACUACUGGGAACGGUAUCUAAUACCGCCUUCCAUAGGAUGUGCCCAGAUGGGAUUGGCUGGUAGGUGGGGUAACGGCUCACCUAGGCGACGAUCCCUAGCGGGUCUGAGAGGAUGACCGGCCAAACGGGAAUGGAGAAACGGCCCAGACUCUGACGGGAGGCGGAAGGGGGGAAUAUUGCACAUUGGGGGCAAGCCGGAGGCAGCCAUGCCGCGUGGAUGAGGAAGGCCUUCGGGUUGUAAAGUACUUUCAGCGGGGAGGCGGUACCCGAAGAAGAAGCAACGGCUAACUCCGUGCCAGCCGCCGCGGUAAUAC